ACCCCCGAGUUCCUUCCCCUCCCCCGAGCCUCUGCAUGAUUGUUUCAAGUCAGCCUGGAAUUCUUACUUUCACGCCGCUAUUCUUUUCCUUUCUCCGUGAUUGCUUGGCUAGCCAUUUAAAAAAAAAUAUUCUCUGUUCAGUGUAUAUGUUGCUUGUUUGUUUUAUUUAUUGAGAUAUUUUUACAAGCUAAGUGACUGCAGUGUGGCUGUGUAUCCUGCUCCCCACCCAGGAAAAAUAAAGACGUCCGCGCAGCCAUGGUCUCCCCA
rnacentral:lncRNA from 1 species